rnacentral:rRNA from 1 species
CCUACGGGGGGCAGCAGUGGGGAAUAUUGGGCAAUGGGCGCAAGCCUGACCCAGCAACGCCGCGUGAAGGAAGAAGGCUUUCGGGUUGUAAACUUCUUUUCUCAGGGACGAAGAAAGUGACGGUACCUGAGGAAUAAGCCACGGCUAACUACGUGCCAGCAGCCGCGGUAAUACGUAGGUGGCAAGCGUUAUCCGGAUUUACUGGGUGUAAAGGGCGGGUAGGCGGGAAAGCAAGUCAGAUGUGAAAACCAUGGGCUCAACCUGUGGCCUGCAUUUGAAACUGUUUUUCUUGAGUACUGGAGAGGCAGACGGAAUUCCCAGUGUAGCGGUGAAAUGCGUAGAUAUUAGGAGGAACACCAGUGGCGAAGGCGGUCUGCUGGACAGCAACUGACGCUGAGGCGCGAAAGCGUGGGGAGCAAACAGGAUUAGAUACCCUAGUAGUC